UAUUAAAAAAUUCAUUCAUUUGUAUUGUUAAAAGUUGGUGGACACGUAACGUGCCACAUGUACCUUAUACUGAUGUAUAAAGAUCAAUUUUUAAUAAUAGAGCUAGAUGGAAUUUUUACA
rnacentral:pre_miRNA from 1 species